AGAGUUUGAUCCUGGCUCAGAGCGAACGCUGGCGGCAGGCCUAACACAUGCAAGUCGAACGGAUCCUUCGGGAUUAGUGGCGGACGGGUGAGUAACACGUGGGAACGUGCCCUUUGGUUCGGAACAACUCAGGGAAACUUGAGCUAAUACCGGAUGUGCCCUUCGGGGGAAAGAUUUAUCGCCAUUGGAGCGGCCCGCGUCUGAUUAGCUAGUUGGUGGGGUAAAGGCCCACCAAGGCGACGAUCAGUAGCUGGUCUGAGAGGAUGAUCAGCCACAUUGGGACUGAGACACGGCCCAAACUCCUACGGGAGGCAGCAGUGGGGAAUCUUGCGCAAUGGGCGAAAGCCUGACGCAGCCAUGCCGCGUGAAUGAUGAAGGUCUUAGGAUUGUAAAAUUCUUUCACCGGGGACGAUAAUGACGGUACCCGGAGAAGAAGCCCCGGCUAACUUCGUGCCAGCAGCCGCGGUAAUACGAAGGGGGCUAGCGUUGCUCGGAAUUACUGGGCGUAAAGGGAGCGUANGCGGACUGUUAAGUUAGAGGUGAAAGCCCAGGGCUCAACCUUGGAAUUGCCUUUGAUACUGGCAGUCUUGAGUA
rnacentral:rRNA from 1 species